CGAGAAGAACCACAUUCUCUACUUUGAACUGGGACUGAAAUUACUUUGUUUUGUUGUUUAAUGUUAUUAUUGGCACAAUAAUGGAAGUUAACAGAUAAUUAAGAAGCGCUAGCUAACGUCACAUUGCUAGAGUCAUUCGAAUAUGUAGAUUAUUCAAUACAGUCAUGAAUUUGUUAGGUAAAACAAUGUGGAUUUGGCCUCAUUCGCUUAGUGCUAUUCCCACCCAACUAGACGUUUCGCCCGCCUUAUUAUCGUUCAUUUUUGCUUGCUUGAUUUCGCUUUCUCGCAGAAGUUGCGUGGCGGGUUCAUUAUCAGCGGCGAGUUCAUCAUUCGGAAGUAGUUUUUUCCAUUGUUGUCAUUGAGUUCGGGUACAACCACGUUCGGUUCCGGUAUAGCUCCGCUUAGUAGGGUAGGAUACGUGGGGUGGAGGAGGUAACAUUGGUUGACUUAGGUUUCUAGGAAUUAUUAUCCUUGGUGAUGUUUCGUGCUUAAUCAGGCGCAUCUUAACUAGCUACCGAUUCCAUCCCUAUCGGCGACAGCGGGCAAAUAUAAUUUAGUAUGGU